UAUAACAGUGCUACAUGUUAACUUUAAAUAUUAACUGUGUACUUAUUUUACCUUAAAAUCACUCAGAUGUCUUUUAUAAAAUAAAUCCUAUUCAUCCAUAAAAUUUUGCUUUCACUGAUACUGUGCCUCUUGAGUAUAGUCAACUCAGGUAUUAUCUCCUCAAGGCUUUCUCUGAUCACCCAGUAUAGACUGUCCUGAGCUACUUUGAAUGUUGUUUGUUUGUUUGUUUGUUUGUUUGUUUAAAGAGACAGGGACUUGCUGUGUUGCCCAGGCUGGAGUGCAGUGUCUAUUCACAGGCACGAUCAUUGUGCACUGCAGCCUUGAACUCCUGGACUCAACCAGUCCUCCCACCUCAGUGUCUCAAGUAGCUGGGACUGUAGACACACACCACUGCUCCUGGUGUGAUGUUUGUUUUGUUUUGUUUUGUUUUUAUUGAGACGGAGUCUCCCUGUGCAGCCCAGGCUGGAGUGCAGUGGCGUAAUCUUGGCUCACUGCAACCUCCGCCUCCCGAUGUCAAGUGAUUCUCCUGCGUCAGCUUCCCAAGUAGCUGGGAUUACAGUCAUGCGCCACCACAUCUGGACAAUUUUUGUAUUUUUAGUAGAGACCGGGCUUCACCAUGUUGGCCAGGCUAGUCUUGAACCCCUGACCUCAAGUGAUCCGCCUGCCUCAGCCUCCCAAAGUGCUGGGAUUACAGGCCACCGCACCCAGCCAGCUUUUUAAUAUAUUUUUAUAUGCUUAGACCUUAUCACUAGUUGAAAGUCUUUGCUUCUCAGUUUAUAGUGUAUCUUCUCUAUAAGAUGUAUUCUCUGUGCCUAAAAGAGGGCUGGCACACAGUGUUUCUUAAGUACUUGUUAAAUGAAUGUGACCGAAACUACUACAUAUGUAUGUCAUUUCUUCAUACGUAUCAACCCAUUCUUAAACAAUUUAAAUAUUUGAAUUUGCUACACCUUUCCUUUUUGAAUAACAGUGAUUUUUUUUCCAUAGCAGUUUCAUUAAAAUUAUUUAAUGAGAGUAUGACUGGAAAAUAAAGGUAGAUUACUUCUAAUAGAAAAUUCCUUCAAAUGAUUGUGGCCUACACAGCUGUUUUCAGGUUUUUCUCUACUCUUGAGAAAUCGUAUUUGUAAAGUGCUAAGGUAUUUUCACUUGAUACAUGUAUUAUAAAAAUACUUUAACAAAGAGAAAAUAAUUGUGCAAGCAUUUCUGUGUUGCUUCACAGUAAAAAUAAUUAACAUGAUAAGUAGCAUAUACUGAGCGUCAUGUGUAGCAUACUAUUCUAAAUGCUUCACAUGGAUUAACUCAUUUAAUCUUCACAACCAUAUCAAUAUGAGUACUGUUGUUAUUCCCACUUUACGGAUGAGAAAACUGAAGAUGGGGUUAGAUGUCCAAAGUCACACAACUAAUAAAUAUAUAUUCCUAGUAAAUGUAUGUAUUUAUUUACUGAUGUCUUAACCUUUAAAGAUUAUAAUUACUUUGGUAGUUCUUAGCUCUAGAAUCACUUAUAAUGCACAUCUUAAAAUGUACAUUUGCCAGGGUUCUUAGUCAGCGUUCAUUGUCUGUAUCUGUUGUGUACACCAAACUGUUACUACCAAACUGAAGACAGCUUCACACAGGUAUAUAAAGCAGUAAAUAUGAUCUGUUUCUAAUAGAGCAUUUCUCUUUAGUUGAUGAAACACACCAAGAACUUGAUGAAGUCAGUCUACUUACUGCUAUCACAGUGUUUAUUUUGUCUACCAGUCCAGAAGUAACUACCAUCCCAUGCCUUCAGAAGCGCUGUAUUGAUAAAUUUAAAGCUACUCUUGAGAUAAAAGAUCCUGUGGUACAAAUCAAGACCUACCAGCUCCUACAUUCCAUCUUUCAGUAUCCAAAUCCAGCUGUUUCCUACCCAUACAUUUACUCUUUAGCAUCCUGUAUCAUGGAAGAACUACAGGAAAUAGACAAGAGAAAACCUGAAAACACUGCUGAGCUUCAGAUCUUCCAAGAAGGCAUAAAGGUCUUAGAAACACUGGUUACUGUUGCCGAAGAACACCAUCGCUCUCAGCUGGUGGCCUGUCUUUUGCCCAUCCUCAUUUCCUUCCUUUUGGAUGAAAAUUCUCUGGGAUCAGCAACUUCCAUAAUGAGAAAUUUACAUGACUUUGCUCUACAAAAUCUCAUGCAGAUUGGACCUCAGUAUUCAUCUGUUUUUAAGAGUUUAGUGGCUUCUUCUCCAGCCCUAAAAGCCCGCCUUGAGGCCGCUAUAAAGGGCAAUCAGGAAAGUGUCAAAGUCAAGAUACCAACAUCUAAAUAUACUAAGAGUCCUGGAAAAAACUCAAGCAUCCAGUUAAAGACCAGUUUCCUCUGAUGUUAUUUUUUUUGGAAGAGUAAGCACCUUAAUAUAAUACUUGAUCAUUUCCUUUGGUGACAAAAGGGACAUUUUAGACACAAGUGCCCUUAGAGGUCUAGUUGAUUGUUUUACCUUAAAUAGCUGUGACUCUUCAAAGUAACAGCAUACUUAACAUUUUUUUGUGUAUGCCUGGGGUUUGUGUUUUGUUUUGUUUUGUUUUGUUUUGUUUUUCUAUUUAAAAAGACAAUGGAGCUAACUUACCAGGAAUUUUAAGAAAGUGCUAAAGAACUAAACUUACUAAACAGUCCACUGCUUUAAAAAUGAAAUGAAUUUCUUCUAACAGUCCAUACACAUGCAGUAUACUUAAUACUGUGACAGAUAUAAAUAUGACUCUAGUGUAAAUUAUCUGCACUAAUAUUGUAUCCCAAUUGCUGAUUUAAAAUUCCGCUUUGGCCAGGCACGGUGGCUCACCCCUGUAAUUCCAGCACUUUGGAAGGCCAAGGCGGGCAGAUCACAAGGUCAGGAGUUUGAGACCAGCCUGACCAACAUGGUGAAACCCUGUCUCUACUAAAAAUACAAAAAUUAGCCAGGUGUGGUGGCACACACCUGUAAUCCCAGCUACUCAGGAGGCUGAGGCAGGAAAAUCACUUGAACCUGGCAGGCAGAGGUUGCAGUGAGCCAAGAUUGUGCCACUGCACUCCAGCCUGGGCGACAGAAUGAGACUCCAUCU
rnacentral:sRNA from 1 species